GCCAGCGUGGUAUAGUGGUUUGAGUGUUGGACAAGGACUCUGGAGACCAGGGUUUGAAUCCCUGCUUGGCC